rnacentral:rRNA from 1 species
UACGUAGGGGGCUAGCGUUGUCCGGAAUCAUUGGGCGUAAAGCGCGCGUAGGCGGCCCUGUUAGUCCGCUGUAAAAGUCAAAGGCUCAACCUUUGAAUGCCGGUGGAUACUGCAGGGCUAGAGUCCGGAAGAGGCGAGUGGAACUCCUGGUGUAGCGGUGGAAUGCGCAGAUAUCAGGAAGAACACCAACGGCGAAGGCAGCUCGCUGGGCCGUAACUGACGCUGAGGAGCGAAAGCAUGGGUAGCAAACAGG